ACGGGGGGUGCGAGCGUUGUCCGGAAUCACUGGGCGUAAAGGGCGCGUAGGCGGCGCGACAGGGCGGCGGUGAAAGUCCGGGGCUCAACCCCGGAUCGGCCGUGGCGACUGUCGCGCUCGAGCACAGUAGAGGCGGGUGGAAUUCCGGGUGUAGCGGUGGAAUGCGUAGAGAUCCGGAGGAACCCCAGAGGCGAAGGCGGCCCCCUGGCUCGUACCUGACGCUCAGCCACGAAAGCAUGGGGAGCGAACGGGA
rnacentral:rRNA from 1 species